rnacentral:tRNA from 1 species
GGUGGGGGGAUAGAUGGAGGAUCACGCACGGCCGGUCUUGAAAACCGUCGUGGCGCGAGCCACCGUGGGUUCAAAUCCCACACCCACCG